rnacentral:lncRNA from 1 species
AGCUUAAUGCACUCAAAUCUCUAAUAUUCUCCCACCGAUACACCUACCGCUAAAAACCCAUUAUCAUGUUUUGUAUUUUCAACCAUAUUUACAUGUAAAGGGGUUUGGAGCUCAAGUAAUUAGAAUUAUUAUCUUUAUUACAAUAUUUUUGUGUUUGCUUCUUCUUCACUUUUCAAUUUUAUUUUUCAAUGUAAUUAUUGCAACGUUAUAACAUAUGUAGAGGUAGAACUCACCUACUUUACAAAAUCAUAUAUUUUAAGUACCCAUAUCGAUUAAAUUCUUCAACACAUUUCGAAUGAAAAAGAUGUACGAUAAUAUAUAUAUUCUUCUCCCUUUUCUAAUAAUCAAGUUUUGCUGCUUUCAUCAACGUGGUAAGUGCAUUAACCUUAAAGUUGGGUUAAAAAAAGCAAAUCUACCAUUUGAUGGGCAUAUGCUCCUUUCACAUACUUUACUGGGAACCUCUCCUGCAUGCAUGAGACAACUAAGGAAUAUAUCCUGGAGGAUCCCAAAAGCUAACAAUAAAUUUUCACUAAGCCAAAAGAUACAAGCAUAUUAUGACGCAAACAAUAUAAAUGGUUUGGCAAGUUCAUAACGCGCGUGGUGUUAUAAUAUAACUUAUUUGAUCUUUGAAACAAAAUUUACACAUGCCUGAGUGUGUUGUGAUGAUAUCUUAAAUCAAUAACGUAAUAUUCUGUAGAAAGAUUAUGUAUGUUAAUCAUUAUAUAUUAUUGAUCCAUAACACAAUAGCGCCAUGAGGUUAUAUCACAUAAAUUCUUGGUAUCUUGCAUUUUGCUUAAAUUUCUUAAUUAGUUGCACAAAGAAUAGUAUCACAUUUGUCCAUUUUGACGACCUAGGCUAACUAAGUUAUAUGCCCUUGAAUUGCCAUGAGGGAGUAACUAGGAAGGGGGUCACCGCAGAUUGUGAUGGGCUAAAAUGACUUUCUAAAUUAAUUAGUUGCACUUGCUAUACAAUAUUCUUCAUUAUUCAGGGCGUAGAAGGCAAAGAUCUUUUGUAUAUGUUUCAUCUCCAUUGUAAAUAUAUAGGCUAAAAAACAUGCUAACAUCGUAAUGGAGGCACUGGCUUGGUAGCUAACAACUUAACUUAGCAUAUUAAUGCGAGCCCAAUUGGCUAAAAGUUUGUUCUCUAAGGU